rnacentral:rRNA from 1 species
GAUGAACGCUGGCGGCGUGCCUAAUACAUGCAAGUCGAGCGAACGGACGAGAAGCUUGCUUCUCUGAUGUUAGCGGCGGACGGGUGAGUAACACGUGGAUAACCUACCUAUAAGACUGGGAUAACUUCGGGAAACCGGAGCUAAUACCGGAUGAUAUUUUGAACCGCAUGGUUCAAAAGUGAAAGACGGUCUUGCUGUCACUUACAGAUGGAUCCGCGCUGCAUUAGCUAGUUGGUAAGGUAACGGCUUACCAAGGCAACGAUGCAUAGCCGACCUGAGAGGGUGAGCGGCAACACUGGAACUGAGCCACGGACCAGACUCCUACGGGAGGCAGAAGGAGGGAAUUUUCGACAAAGGGCGAAAGCCGGAGGAAGCAACGCGGCGGGGGUGAGGAAGGUCUGCGGAUGGUAAAACCCUUUUAUUGGGAAAGAAAAGCUGUAAAAUAAUCCUCCCACAUCUUGACGUUACCUAAUCAGAAAGCACCGGCUAAGUACGGG